rnacentral:misc_RNA from 1 species
UGGAGAAAUCAUGCCAUUGGUUCUACAACCUCCUGAAGCAAACAAGGCCAAGUUUGAGUCUCUUUUGUUGGCUCUCAAAAACAACAAGGAAUGGUUGGACCAAAUGGUCAUCAAACACAGCGCCCUUUUGCUCCGAGGAUAUGACGUGUCCAACGCUGAGGAAUUCAACGACAUCGUCGAAGCUUUCGGGUGGGAGGACAUUCGAUACGUUGGCCCGGCUCCUCGAACCCAUGUUUAUAAGAGGAUUUGGACUGCCAAUGAAGGACCCCUCUCUGAAUUCAUUUACUAUCACCAUGAGAUGGUUUUGAUAAAGGAAUAUCCAAAGAAG